UACGCAGGUGGCGAGCGUUGUCCGGAUUUACUGGGUGUAAAGGGCGUGUAGGCGGGAUGACAAGUCAGAUGUGAAAUCCCAGGGCUUAACCCUGGAGCUGCAUCUGAAACUGUUUUUCUUGAGUGUCGGAGAGGAAAGUGGAAUUCCCAGUGUAGCGGUGAAAUGCGUAGAGAUUGGGAGGAACACCAGUGGCGAAGGCGGCUUUCUGGACGAUAACUGACGCUGAGGCGCGAAAGCGUGGGGAGCAAACAGG
rnacentral:rRNA from 1 species